CGUCUCAGUUCAGAUUGCAGGCUGCAACUCGCCUGCAUGAAGUCGGAAUUGCUAGUAAUCGCGGAUCAGCAUGCCGCGGUGAAUACGUUCCCGGGCCUUGUACACACCGCCCGUCACACCAUGGGAGCCGGUAAUACCCGAAGUCAGUAGUCCAACCUCGUGAGGACGCUGCCGAAGGUAGGAUUGGCGACUGGGGUGAAGUCGUAACAAGGUAUC
rnacentral:rRNA from 1 species